CAGUAGCCGCGGUAACACGGAGGGUGCAAGCGUUAAUCGGAAUUACUGGGCGUAAAGCGCACGCAGGCGGUUUGUUAAGUCAGAUGUGAAAUCCCCGAGCUUAACUUGGGAACUGCAUUUGAAACUGGCAAGCUAGAGUCUUGUAGAGGGGGGUAGAAUUCCAGGUGUAGCGGUGAAAUGCGUAGAGAUCUGGAGGAAUACCGGUGGCGAAGGCGGCCCCCUGGACAAAGACUGACGCUCAGAUGCGAAAGCGUGGGGAGCAAACAGGAUUAGAUACCCGCGUAGUCCCUGUCUCUUAUAC
rnacentral:rRNA from 1 species